ensembl:ncRNA F45B8.10 ncRNA
UUUGGAAAAUCCGAUCCAAAAUGUGACUUUGAGAAUUAAUUUGUCUGUCCUUAUUUUUUGCUGGAUUCCUCCAGCUCCUGACUCUUCGGUGAAUCUUGCGGGAAAUGAAAAACGACAGGAAUGAUAUGGCGUGUCGGGAGAUGAAUUGGUGACAGAUGUACUCAGUUCCAUUCCAAUCCACUGAAUUUCCGAGUUUCUCUCUCCUUCCCGUCUCCUUUAA